rnacentral:sRNA from 1 species
AAAAUUUUAAGAGGGCUAGGGAAUUUCAAA